GACGAACGCUGGCGGCGUGCUUAACACAUGCAAGUCGAACGGAAAGGCCCUGCUUUUGUGGGGUGCUCGAGUGGCGAACGGGUGAGUAACACGUGAGUAACCUGCCCUUGACUUUGGGAUAGCUUCAGGAAACUGGGGCUAAUACCGGAUAGGAGCUCCUGCUGCAUGGUGGGGGUUGGAAAGUUUCGGCGGUUGGGGAUGGACUCGCGGCUUAUCAGCUUGUUGGUGGGGUAGUGGCUUACCAAGGCUUUGACGGGUAGCCGGCCUGAGAGGGUGAACGGCCACCUUGGGACUGCGAUACGGCCCAGACUCCUACGGGAGGCAGCAGUGGGGAAUAUUGCACAAUGGGCGGAAGCCUGAUGCAGCAACGCCGCGUGCGGGAUGACGGCCUUCGGGUUGUAAACCGCUUUCGCCUGUGACGAAGCGUGAGUGACGGUAAUGGGUAAAGAAGCACCGGCUAACUACGUA
rnacentral:rRNA from 1 species